rnacentral:lncRNA from 12 species
UUAUAUAAGCCACACAGUAUUUGAUCUUCCAGUGGUGGGCAAAAGACAAACAGUUUCUGUCUCUUUCUAGGUUUCCCAUGUACCAUUAGGAGAAGCUGGUAGGAUUAAGCGCAAGUCUGAGCUGGCAAGAAAGUUAGCAGCAUGCUGGCUCAAUGAGAAGUCAGCAAGAAGAAACCUACCAUAUUUUGAAACCUACCCAUAUUGCUGCAUGUAAACUCAGUCCAUAACUGUUCCUGGAUCACCUCCCAAUAAAUUACCUUCACUUGGAAUCUUUGACUCA